rnacentral:tRNA from 3 species
GGUCGCGUAGCUCAGUGGAUAGAGCACAAGCCUCCUAAGCUUGGGGUCGCAGGUUCAACUCCCGUCGCGAUCGCCA